rnacentral:rRNA from 1 species
AAUAUUGCGCAAUGGAGGGAACUCUGACGCAGCGUCGCGGAUUGAGCGAUGAAUGACUUCGGAUCGUAAAGCUCUGUUCUUGGGGAAGGAGGUGUUCGGACUUGACGGUACUUAAAGAGGAAGACCCGGCUAAUUACGUGCCAGCAGACGCGGUAAUAAGUAGGGGGCAAGCGUUGUCCGGAAUUAUUGGGCGUAAAGGGUGCGUAGGCGGCCUUUUAAGUCAGAUGUGAAAGCCCACGGCUUAACCGUGGGACUGCAUUUGAAACUGGAGGGCUUGAGUAUCGGAGAGGGUAGUGGAAUUCCCAGUGUAGCGGUGGAAUGCGUAGAUAUUGGGAGGAACACCAGUGGCGAAGGCGACUACCUGGACGAAAACUGACGCUGAGGCACGAAAGCUAGGGGAGCAAACA